GGAUGAAGAGUCCAAGAUUAUACGAGCAUUUCAGGGGCCAUAAGAUCCUUCUACUUCCCAGCCGUGUGUGCCUCCUAAAGUACAUUAAGAUGUGGCAGUGCUCAAGAAACUGCACUUAACAGCAUGCUGGCAUUUCUGGAUCAGUGGGAGGCCCAUGCAAAAGGGCUCGGCUUCUUAAGCAAGGGCACAUCAGAAGGCCUGCGUGUGACCAUACAUUCCACUAAAGACCUCUUGACGUAUUUAACUUAAAAGGUGCAUAAGUGUUUACAGCUUGGCCAAGAGCCCCAAGGGAGGAAUUGUGUCCCCUGGACUUUUGGAGUCCUUGCUGUCCGAGGUCAAGCUGCUCCCAGAAAACGAAGAAACGGCCUUGGAUGACACUGGACUACCUGCCGAAGCCGCAGAAGUUGCCGUAGACCAUGUAGACUAUGGAACACAGUGAUGCCCGCCUGGUCU